rnacentral:rRNA from 1 species
AUUGAACGCUGGCGGAAUGCUUUAUACAUGCAAGUCGAACGGCAGCACGGACUUCGGUCUGGUGGCGAGUGGCGAACGGGUGAGUAAUGUAUCGGAACGUGCCCAGUCGUGGGGGAUAACGUAGUGAAAAUUACGCUAAUACCGCAUACGAUCUAUGGAUGAACGCGGGGGAUCGCAAGACCUCGCGCGAUUGGAGCGGCCGAUAUCAGAUUAGGUAGUUGGUGGGGUAAAGGCCCACCAAGCCAACGAUCUGUAGCUGGUCUGAGAGGACGACCAGCCACACUGGAACUGAGACACGGUCCAGACUCCUACGGGAGGCAGCAGUGGGGAAUUUUGGACAAUGGGCGAAAGCCUGAUCCAGCCAUUCCGCGUGCAGGAUGAAGGCCCUCGGGUUGUAAACUGCUUUUGUACAGAACGAAAAGGUUUCUACUAAUACUAGGAGCUCAUGACGGUACUGUAAGAAUAAGCACCGGCUAACUACGUGCCAGCAGCCGCGGUAA